rnacentral:rRNA from 1 species
GGAUCAAUGGAUUGGUCAUGCCGAUGGUAUGUACUGGUCAUAUUGGUUCUCACCUUCUAAGGAACCAUAAUGUCAUUUAUUUGAUGUUGUGGGGAAUUAGGACUGUUACCUUGAAAAAAUUAGAGUGUUUAAAGCAGGCUAACGCUUGAAUACAUUAGCAUGGAAUAAUGAAAUAGGACAUCGCAUUCUAUUUUGUUGGUUUCUAGGAUCGAUGUA